rnacentral:rRNA from 1 species
AACGAACGCUGGCGGCAGGCCUAACACAUGCAAGUCGAGCGCCCCGCCAGGGGAGCGGCGGACGGGUGAGUAACGCGUGGGAAUAUGCCCUUUGCUACGGAAUAGUCUCGGGAAACUGGGGGUAAUACCGUAUACGCCCUUUGGGGGAAAGAUUUAUCGGCGAAGGAUUAGCCCGCGUUGGAUUAGGUAGUUGGUGGGGUAAUGGCCUACCAAGCCGACGAUCCAUAGCUGGUUUGAGAGGAUGAUCAGCCACACUGGGACUGAGACACGGCCCAGACUCCUACGGGAGGCAGCAGUGGGGAAUCUUAGACAAUGGGGGCAACCCUGAUCUAGCCAUGCCGCGUGAGUGAUGAAGGCCUUAGGGUUGUAAAGCUCUUUCAGCUGGGAAGAUAAUGACGGCACCAGCAGAAGAAGCCCCGGCUAACUCCGUG